CCUACGGGAGGCAGCAGUGGGGAAUAUUGCACAAUGGGGGAAACCCUGAUGCAGCGACGCCGCGUGAGCGAUGAAGUAUUUCGGUAUGUAAAGCUCUAUCAGCAGGGAAGAAAAUGACGGUACCUGACUAAGAAGCCCCGGCUAACUCCGUGCCAGCAGCCGCGGUCAUACGGGGGAUGCAAGCGUUAUCCGGAUUUAUUGGGUUUAAAGGGUGCGUAGGCUGGGAGGUAAGUCAGCGGUGAAAUGCCCCCGCUCAACGGGGUGAAGUGCCAUUGAUACUGCCUUGCUGGAAUGCGGAUGCCGUGGGAGGAAUGUGUGGUGUAGCGGUGAAAUGCAUAGAUAUCACACAGAACACCGAUUGCGAAGGCAUCUCACGAAUCCGCGAUUGACGCUGAUGCACGAAAGUGCGGAGAUCGAACAGGAUUAGAUACCCCGGUAGUC
rnacentral:rRNA from 1 species